UUAUUUUUAUUUCUUUUCCUAUUCUCCUCCCCGAAUUCGCUCGAACUCUGCCCCUUUCCCCGAUCUCCUCUCCCGAGCUCUCUCGCACGACCUCCUUUCCCCGACGCCGAUGCCACAAGGGAGGUGAUCGCCAGUCGUUCUUCUCCUCAUCGCCGCCCAUGCCCUAACUUCCCCUCUUCAUUCGCCGCACACCUUCGUCCUCCUCUGUGCGCCGUCGCCCGACCAGGCUAGUGUCAGUCCUCUCUUCCGACGAGCCACAGCCGCCGACACCACUGCUCCCCCACACGAUGCCGGAUCGGUGAUGCUGUUGUUGUCUCUGUCGCGAGGGUGAGCCUUUGGAUUCCUCUCGAUUUUGCCUGAUGUCGCCGCCCUAUUUGGUCGUGCCCUAGCUCCGGAUUUCCGUUCCCAUCAUGUAGCCGGCAGUAGGAUAUCAAGGCUAGGAAGGGCACCAAAUGACCGGGGGAGAGCUGAUCCAUCGCCGGCAACCCGAUCCUCUUCCACCUCUGGCCACAAGGGCAAGAGAUGCUGAUCCACCGCUGCUUCCCUUUCUUUCUCCUGAUCACCGAGAGCUCUUCUUGUUCCUGAUUUCCAGCCAAUCUUUGCUUUGCUUGGUGACACCAUUGCCGAUCGUGAUUGAGAGAAGAGGGCAACCCGUAAGAGGAGAUCUUGAUUUUCUCGCAAUAGCAUCCGGGAUCUUCAUCGGGUGGUUGUAGAUUUGGGUAUGGAUCCAAUGUGCAUUGCUGCAACCUGUGGAUUUUUCACUAAAUUGCUGUGGAUCAGAUUAAGGUUAGAAGGUGAUGGGGAUGUGGGCAGCAGUAAGCAUCACACCCGUGAUUUUCAACAGUGGGUUGUUUCGUUCACAAGGAGCACUUCGAAUGAGGAUCCGAGUUGGAUGUGAUCUUCUGGAGUUGUUGAAGACGGUUGACACGCACUACGUAUAAAGGCGGG